rnacentral:rRNA from 1 species
AUGGCCACCGCCGCCGUCGACCCGGGAGAAUCGACGCCGGCCACCGCCGCGAUGCCGCGCGCCGGCCCCGCUCGGCCGGAUCCCGCGCGCCGCGUCCCCGUCACCCCGCGCGAGCUAGGGUUUACGCCGUUCCGCGACCCCCCUCCCCCUCCUCGAGAAGAAGAGGGGGCGCUGCCGAACUCGUCGGAGGGGGAAAUUCAGGCGCCUGAGUGGAAAUCUCUUGCCGGAUCUCAAGCUGGUCCAGAAACCGAGGGCGUGAGGACACCUGCAAGUUUGGUUAAGAGCACCCAUGAAGCUUUGGCGCAAGAAGCAUUCACCGAUGAACGGCAUGCGCAGUUGGAUGCACAGAUACUAGUCAAUGCAGAUCUUUGCCAGGGAAAGCCACUAGCAAAGGCCGCCAUACGCCCUGCACGCGACUCUCCUCCUCUAGAGGGAGCACUGCCAAAUUCACCAGAGGAGGUUCAGACCCCUGAGUGCAAACCUUAUGCCAGAUCUCAAGCUCUUCCAGAAACUGUGCAUGUGAGGACACCUGUAAGUUGGGUUAAGAGCACCCGUGAAGCUUUGACGCAUAAAGCAUUCGCCUAUGAACUGCAUGCACAGUUGGAUGCACAGAUACUGGUCAAUCCAGAUCUUAGCCAGGGAAAACCACCAGCAAAGUCCGCCCUACGCCCCAUGUGCAACCCUCCUCUAGAGCGAGCACUGACAGAUUCAUUAGAGGAGAUUCAGACUCCUGAAUGGAAACCUUAUGCCGGGUCUCAAGCUGUUCCAGAUACCGAGGGUGUGAGGACACCUGGAAGUUCGCUUAAGAACACCUGUGAAGCUUUGGCGCAUGAAGCAUUCACUGAUGAACAGCAUGCGCAGUUGUAUGCACAUAUAUUAAUAACUGCAGAUCUUAAACAGGGAAAACCACCAUCAAAGGCUGCCAUGGUUCUGGCCUUUGGACAACCUGUGGAGGGUCAGAAACAUGCUUGGGAGGAGGUUUGGCGUGCUGCUGUUGACAGAUACCAGAACCAAAUGUCACCACUGGGCUUUGAGACACCUUUUAGUUCCCAGAAUGGCCCGUUAGAACCAUCUCCUAACAGCAUGAAGAAUUUUGAGGAGUUUGAGCUGAAGGAGGCACAUUCAGAGCUCGUUGAUGCACAGACUAGCAAAUGGCAGAACCAGAAGUCACCAAUGACUGGCUUUGAGACACCCAUCAAGUCUGUGAUAGGUAAUUGCGCAGCUCAAGGUUUGGAUGUUCAGAAUGGCGGAGAGGUUCAGCUGGCAGUCAGUUGUGCUGACAAACUAGAUCAAGAGCCACCUGAUGACAGAAAGAUAAAGAAUACAAUCUAUGGUGGGCUAGAGUCUCGUUGCGGCAGCACUCCCUCGGAAAGUUCAGAAAGCUUGACGGAACUGGACUCAUGUGUGAAAUGCGGUAAAGAUGGGCAGCUGCUGAAAUGUUCCAGCUGCUUCUUAGCCGCCCAUGCUAGCUGUUUUGGUUCAUCGGUGACAUUUGAUGACUCUGGCCAUUUUGAUUGUCCUGUUUGCUAUUGCCGAAAAGCUGCUAAAGCAAUGGAAAAGGCUAAGAAAACAUAUUCUGAAGCUAGGAAAAAUUUAUCUGUUUUCUGCAGCGGCUGGAAGCAAUUUUCUAAGGAACACAGUGAGCUGAUGAAUGGCUUUCACACAGCUAAAAAGCAAGGUCAGUCUGAAGCAGCUGAGCUAUGUCGCAAGGAUGGAGAGCCUAGUCAUCUGAAAGAAAAUGGUACAAGUGAUGCUGGUCCUGAGAAGGUAGUCACCACAAAGACAACCAUUUUUUCGAGUUCUGAAAAUGCAAAAUCCCAUGGAGACAGCAAUAGCAAUUUGUCUCGUGAAGCGCCAUAUUCAGCUCGGGAUAGAUUCAGUUCUGUUGCAAAUCGCAACAUUGGGGUUGGCAAAGAGAAUUGUCUUAUGAAUUCUCCCAAUUGCAAUUUUUCUGAUAGACUAGGAGCUAUAUCUUCGCGAAACAUAAGCCGCCGCAAAGUAAGCUUUCAAGAAAUGGGGACAGUGGCACCAAAUAGUACUUGGAAAACAUUGAGGUACCAGGAUCAGUUCGUGCAUUCACCAGCAAGGAAAAGAUAUUAUCCAUGCCCACCCGAGCAUUACUACAGUCCACACACACCAGCUAUGAGGAGUCUGCUGGCGCCAAGAAAAACGCCUUAUACAGGUAAAACGCCUUUUACAUCGACAACCGCGAGGCGCAAGAUGGUCUUCUGGACCGAGGCAGAGGAGGCGGCUCUGAGGGAGGCAGUGGCGAAGCUUGCCCCGAAGGGGGAGGCCGCGAAGGAGAAGAGGUCGAUCUCGUGGGUGCGCAUACACGAUUACUGCAGGGAGUCGAUCCACCCCACACGCUGCCCGGACGACCUGCGGAAGAAGUGGAACCGCAUGAAGAACAAGCUGGGUGUGUGUCCUGAAGACGGUAGCGUAGGAGGAGACAGCUGCUUCUGA